rnacentral:tRNA from 1 species
GAAGGUAGAGCUGAGUGGCAGAGCAUGUGCUCAGCAUGCAUGAGGCCCUGGGUUCAAUUCCCAGUACCUCUU